GAAGUUUGAUCCUGGCUCAGGAUGAACGCUAGCGACAGGCCUAACACAUGCAAGUCGAGGGGGCAGCGGAGAGGUAGCAAUACCUUUGCCGGCGACCGGCGCACGGGUGAGUAACACGUAUGCAAUCCACCUGUAACAGGGGGAUAACCCGGAGAAAUCCGGACUAAUACCCCAUAAUAUGGGCGCUCCGCAUGGAGAGCCCAUUAAAGAGAGCAAUUUUGGUUACAGACGAGCAUGCGCUCCA
rnacentral:rRNA from 1 species